rnacentral:rRNA from 1 species
GACGUAGGGGGCGAGCGUUGUCCGGAUUUAUUGGGCGUAAAGCGUGCGUAGGCGGCUGCGCAAGUCGGGUGUGAAACCCCGGGGCUCAACCCCGGAACUGCAUCCGAUACUGCGUGGCUAGAGGUAGGUAGGGGAGAUCGGAAUUCCUGGUGUAGCGGUGAAAUGCGCAGAUAUCAGGAGGAACACCGGUGGCGAAGGCGGAUCUCUGGGCCGAUACUGACGCUGAGGAGCGAAAGCGUGGGGAGCGAACAGG